rnacentral:rRNA from 1 species
GAUGAACGCUGGCGGCGUGCCUAAUACAUGCAAGUCGAGCGAAUGGAUUAAGAGCUUGCUCUUAUGAAGUUAGCGGCGGACGGGUGAGUAACUCGUGAGUAACCUGCCCUUGACUCUGGGAUAACUGCGGGAAACUGUAGCUAAUACCGGAUACGACCCUCGGAGGCAUCUCCUGGGGGUGGAAAGAAUUUCGGUCAAGGAUGGACUCGCGGCCUAUCAGCUAGUUGGUGAGGUAAAGGCUCACCAAGGCGACGAAGGGUAGCGGGCCUGAGAGGGGGACCGGCCCAACUGGGACUGGGACACUGCACAGACUCCUACGGGAGGCAGCAGUGGGGAAUAUUGCACGAUGGGCGCAAGCCUGAUGCAGCAACGCCGCGUGAGGGAUGACGGCCUUCGGGUUGUAAACAUCUUUUAGCAGGGAAGAAGCGAAAGUGACGGUACCUGAAGAAAAAGGACCGGCUAACUACGUGCCAGCCGCCGCAGUAA